GUGGGGAAUAUUGCACAAUGGGCGAAAGCCCGAUGCAGCGACGCCGCGUGAGCGAUGAAGUAUUUCGGUACGUAAAGCUCUAUCAGCAGGGAAGAUAAUGACAGUACCUGACUAAGAAGCCCCGGCUAACUACGUGCCAGCAGCCGCGGUAAUACGUAGGGGGCAAGCGUUAUCCGGAUUUACUGGGUGUAAAGGGAGCGUAGACGGAAUGGCAAGUCUGAAGUGAAAUCCUGCGGCUUAACUGCAGAAUUGCUUUGGAAACUGUCAAUCUGGAGUGUUGGAGAGGUAAGCGGAAUUCCUGGUGUAGCGGUGAAAUGCGUAGAUAUCAGGAAGAACACCGGAGGCGAAGGCGGCUUACUGGACAAUAACUGACGUUGAGGCUCGAAAGCGUGGGAAGCAAACAGGAUUAGAUACCCUAGUAGUCC
rnacentral:rRNA from 1 species